UACGUAGGGGGCAAGCGUUGUCCGGAUUCAUUGGGCGUAAAGAGCGUGUAGGCGGCCAGGUAGGUCGGUUGUGAAAACUGGAGGCUCAACCUUCAGAGGUCGACCGAAACCAUCUGGCUAGAGUCCGGGAGAGGAGAGUGGAAUUCCUGGUGUAGCGGUGAAAUGCGCAGAUAUCAGGAAGAACACCGGUGGCGAAGGCGGGUCGCUGGGCCGAUAUUGACGCUGAGGAGCGAAAGCGUGGGGAGCGAACAGG
rnacentral:rRNA from 1 species